UCUCCUGGAAACGGGUGGUAAUGCCGGAUGCUCCAUCACACUGCAUGGUGUGUUGGGAAAGCCUUUGCGGCAUGGGAUGGGGUCGCGUCCUAUCAGCUUGAUGGCGGGGUAACGGCCCACCAUGGCUUCGACGGGUAGCCGGCCUGAGAGGGCGACCGGCCACAUUGGGACUGAGAUACGGCCCAGACUCCUACGGGAGGCAGCAGUGGGGAAUAUUGCACAAUGGGCGCAAGCCUGAUGCAGCGACGCCGCGUGAGGGAUGGAGGCCUUCGGGUUGUAAACCUCUUUUGUUAGGGAGCAAGGCAUUUUGUGUUGAGUGUACCUUUCGAAUAAGCACCGGCUAACUACGUGCCAGCAGCCGCGGUAAUACGUAGGGUGCAAGCGUUAUCCGGAAUUAUUGGGCGUAAAGGGCUCGUAGGCGGUUCGUCGCGUCCGGUGUGAAAGUCCAUCGCUUAACGGUGGAUCCGCGCCGGGUACGGGCGGGCUUGAGUGCGGUAGGGGAGACUGGAAUUCCCGGUGUAACGGUGGAAUGUGUAGAUAUCGGGAAAAGAACACC
rnacentral:rRNA from 1 species